UUUAUUGCCCUCUUCACAUCAAGAGGAAUUGCUGCCAUCUACAGUGAGAACUGUUGAUGUGGCCAACACAAAUGGGCCGGAAGCAGAGGCUUUUGGGCAGAAUACAUCAAAAGCUGAAUAUACUGCAUUUAGCAAGAAACAUAACAGGAGAAAUGCAAUCAAUAAGAGAUCCAGGAAAGUGCAAAAAAAUAGGAAGCAAUACCAUAUAUGUUGCUUCAACAGCAUUGAAAUGCAUUAACAAAAAUGAAUGCAGUAUAUUCAGCUUUUGAUGUGUCCUUCUCAAAAGCUUCUGCUUCUGGAUCAUUUGGUUUGGUCACAUCCACUGUUCCCACUGCAGAUGUUGGC